rnacentral:rRNA from 1 species
CCUACGGGAGGCAGCAGUAGGGAAUCUUCCGCAAUGGACGAAAGUCUGACGGAGCAACGCCGCGUGAACGAUGAAGGCCUUCGGGUCGUAAAGUUCUGUUGUUAGGGAAGAACAAGUGCUAGUUGAAUAAGCUGGCACCUUGACGGUACCUAACCAGAAAGCCACGGCUAACUACGUGCCAGCAGCCGCGGUAAUACGUAGGUGGCAAGCGUUGUCCGGAAUUAUUGGGCGUAAAGCGCGCGCAGGCGGUUUCUUAAGUCUGAUGUGAAAGCCCCCGGCUCAACCGGGGAGGGUCAUUGGAAACUGGGAAACUUGAGUGCAGAAGAGGAAAGUGGAAUUCCAAGUGUAGCGGUGAAAUGCGUAGAGAUUUGGAGGAACACCAGUGGCGAAGGCGACUUUCUGGUCUGUAACUGACGCUGAGGCGCGAAAGCGUGGGGAGCAAACAGGAUUAGAUACCCUGGUAGUCCACGCUGUAAACGAUGAGUGCUAAGUGUUAGAGGGUUUCCGCCCUUUAGUGCUGAAGUUAACGCAUUAAGCACUCCGCCUGGGGGAUACGGUCGCAAGACUGAAACUCAAAGGAAUUGACGG